UUAAAUCAGUUCUCUUUUAUUUGAUAGUACCUUACUACUUGGAUAACCGUGGUAAUUCUAGAGCUAAUACAUGCUAAAAACCCCAACUUCGGGAGGGGUGUAUUUAUUAGAUAAAAAACCAAUGCCCUUCGGGGCUCCUUGGUGAUUCAUGAUAACUUCUCAGAUCGCAUGGCUUUACGCCGGCGACGGUUCAUUCAAAUUUCUGCCCUAUCAACUUUCGAUGGUAAGGUAUUGGCUUACCAUGGUUUCAACGGGUAACGGGGAAUUAGGGUUCGAUUCCGGAGAGGGAGCCUGAGAAACGGCUACCACAUCCAAGGAAGGCAGCAGGCGCGCAAAUUACCCAAUUCCGAUACGGAGAGGUAGUGACAAUAAAUACUGAUACAGGGCUCUUUUGGGUCUUGUAAUUGGAAUGAGUACAAUUUAAACCUCUUAACGAGGAACAAUUGGAGGGCAAGUCUGGUGCCAGCAGCCGCGGUAAUUCCAGCUCCAAUAGCGUAUAUUAAAGUUGUUGCAGUUAAAAAGCUCG
rnacentral:rRNA from 1 species